rnacentral:lncRNA from 1 species
AAAAAUGCUAGCAACCUGUGAUGAAAAGACAUUCUUGAUUAUAAUACAGUUACAAAUGAAACCAGAAUAUUUGUUGCAAUAACCAAGGUUCAGGAAGGUGCCAAAGACCCGAAUCCUUCAGUAUACAAGAUAUAUAGAAUUUGAGGCACAUCAGUCAUGAGAACAACCAAAAGGCACAUCAGUCACGAGAACAACCAAAAGCCUAGCCCGAAUGGACAAACAGGAAACCAAACCAAAACAUGGUACUUACAAAAUCUGCAAAUUUCUGAAUUGGAGCUUUGGACAUCUGAGCCGUUUCAACCAAACUAAUUAUCUGGCUUAAAACAGCAUCGGAUCCAAUUUUG